AUUGAACGCUGGCGGUAUGCUUAACACAUGCAAGUCGAACGGUAACAGGCCUUCGGGCGCUGACGAGUGGCGGACGGUGAGUAACGCGUAGGAAUCUGCCUCAUAGUGGGGACAACGUGGGGAAACUCACGCUAAUACCGCAUACGCCCUACGGGGAGAGCGGGGGAUCUUCGGACCUCGCGCUAUGAGAUGAGCCUGCGUUAGAUUAGCUAGUUGGUAGGUAAAGGCCUACCAAGGCGACGAUCUAUAGCUGGUCUGAGAGGACGAUCAGCCACACUGGGACUGAGACACGGCCCAGACUCCUACGGGAGGCAGCAGUGGGGAAUAUUGGACAAUGGGCGCAAGCCUGAUCCAGCAAUACCGCGUGUGUGAAGAAGGCCCUAGGGUUGUAAAGCACUUUCAAUUGGGAGGAAAACCCUGCCGGUCAAUACCCGGCAGCUUGACAUACCUUUAGAAGAAGCACCGGCUAACUCCGUGCCAGCAGCCGCGGUAAU
rnacentral:rRNA from 1 species